AACGCACGAGACCUGCGGACCUGCGGAAGGAUCAUUAGUGAACGCCCUCACGGGCUUAUAACUAUUCCAAACCUCUGCGAACCGUGCCCUUCGGGGCUAUUUUACAAACAUGGUGUAAUGAACGUCAUAUAUCAUAACAAAACAAAACUUUUAACAAUGGAUCUCU
rnacentral:misc_RNA from 1 species